rnacentral:rRNA from 1 species
GAUGAACGCUAGCUACAGGCUUAACACAUGCAAGUCGAGGGGUAGCAUGUUGGUUGCUUGCAACCGAUGAUGACGACCGGCGCACGGGUGAGUAACGCGUAUCCAACUUGGCUUAUACUUAGGGAUAACCCGUUGAAAGACGGCCUAAUACCUAAUGGUUUAUAAUAGUUGCAUGACUUUUAUAAUAAAGAUUUAUCGGUAUAAGAUAGGGAUGCGUCUGAUUAGUUAGUUGGUGAGGUAACGGCCCACCAAGGCAUCGAUCAGUAGGGGUUCUGAGAGGAAGGUCCCCCACAUUGGAACUGAGACACGGUCCGAACUCCUACGGGAGGCAGCAGUGAGGAAUAUUGGUCAAUGGACGUAAGUCUGAACCAGCCAAGUAGCGUGCAGGAUGACGGCCCUAUGGGUUGUAAACUGCUUUUAUGUGAGAAUAAAGUUAACUACGUGUAGUUAUUUGCAUGUAUCACAUGAAUAAGGACCGGCUAAUUCCGUGCCAGCAGCCGCGGUAAUACGGAAGGUCCAGGCGUUAUCCGGAUUUAUUGGGUUUAAAGGGAGCGUAGGCCGUUUGGUAAGCGUGCUGUGAAAUUUAGAGGCUCAACCUCUACCGUGCAGCGCGAACUGUCAGACUUGAGUGCGUAGUAGGUAGGCGGAAUUCGUGGUGUAGCGGUGAAAUGCUUAGAUAUCACGAAGAACUCCGAUUGCGAAGGCAGCUUACCGUAUCGCAACUGACGCUGAUGCUCGAAGGUGCGGGUAUCGAACAGGAUUAGAUACCCUGGUAGUCCGCACAGUAAACGAUGGAUGCUCGCUGUUGGCUUUUAUAGUCAGUGGCUUAGCGAAAGCGUUAAGCAUCCCACCUGGGGAGUACGCCGGCAACGGUGAAACUCAAAGGAAUUGACGGGGGCCCGCACAAGCGGAGGAACAUGUGGUUUAAUUCGAUGAUACGCGAGGAACCUUACCCGGGCUUGAACUGCAGGAGAACGAUUCAGAGAUGAUGAGGUCCUUCGGGACUCCUGUGGAGGUGCUGCAUGGUUGUCGUCAGCUCGUGCCGUGAGGUGUCGGCUUAAGUGCCAUAACGAGCGCAACCCCUUUUCUUAGUUGCCAUCGGGUGAUGCCGGGCACUCUGAGGAUACUGCCACCGUAAGGUGUGAGGAAGGUGGGGAUGACGUCAAAUCAGCACGGCCCUUACGUCCGGGGCUACACACGUGUUACAAUGGGGCAUACAGAGUGUUGGUUGCAUGUAAAUGUAAUCUAAUCUUUAAAGUGCUUCUCAGUUCGGACUGGGGUCUGCAACCCGACCCCACGAAGCUGGAUUCGCUAGUAAUCGCGCAUCAGCCAUGGCGCGGUGAAUACGUUCCCGGGCCU